rnacentral:rRNA from 1 species
CACGAACGCUGGCGGCAGGCUUAACACAUGCAAGUCGAGCGCCCCGCAAGGGGAGCGGCAGACGGGUGAGUAACGCGUGGGAAUCUACCCAUCUCUACGGAAUAACGCAUGGAAACGUGUGCUAAUACCGUAUACGUCCUUCGGGAGAAAGAUUUAUCGGAGAUGGAUGAGCCCGCGUUGGAUUAGCUAGUUGGUGGGGUAAAGACCUACCAAGGCGACGAUCCAUAGCUGGUCUGAGAGGAUGAUCAGCCACACUGGGACUUAGACACGGCCCAGCCUCCUGCGGGAGGCAGCAGUGGGGAAUAUUGGACAAUGGGCGCAAGCCUGAUCCAGCCAUGCCGCGUGAGUGAUGAAGGCCCUAGGGUUGUAAAGCUCUUUCACCGGUGAAGAUAAUGACGGUAACCGGAGAAGAAGCCCCGGCUAACUUCGUGCCAGCAGCCGCGGUAACAC